rnacentral:rRNA from 1 species
GCCCGGUCCCAUUCCGAACCCGGAAGCUAAGCCUCUCAGCGCCGAUGGUACUGCAGGGGACACCCUGUGGGAGAGUAGGACACCGCCGGAC